GACGAACGCUGGCGGCGUGCUUAACACAUGCAAGUCGAACGAAGUGGCGAACGGGUGAGUAACGCGUAAUCAACCUGCCCUUCUGCGGGGGAUAACAGUUUGAAACGACUGCUAAUACCGUAUACUGAAGGAGGGGCUUGCGUCUGAUUAGGUAGUUGGAGGGGUAACGGCCCCACAAGGCGAUGAUAAGUAGCCGGUCUGAGAGGAUGAACGGCCACAGUGGGGAUGAGACACGGGCCAAAAUCCUACGGGAGGCAGCAGGGGGGAAUCUUCCGAAAUGGACGAAAGUCUGACGGGGCAACGCCGGGGGAGUGAUGACGGCCUUUGGGUUGUAAAGCUCUGUUAAUCGGGACGCGGUACCGGAAUAGAAAGCCACGGCUAACUACGUGCCAGCAGCCGCGGUAAUAC
rnacentral:rRNA from 1 species